ensembl:rRNA 5S_rRNA 5S ribosomal RNA
GGCCACAGCCAUGUCACCCCGCAGCCCAAGAUAGGUUACUCACUGAAGCUAAGCAGGACUGAGCCUGGUCAGUACCUGGAUGGGAGACCACAAGGGAAAACUAGGUUGCUGUAGGAA